rnacentral:siRNA from 1 species
UGCGGAAGCCUAAUUCAUCGAUUC